UUUGACAAAUACAAAACAGGAUGACAUUAAAUUGAUGAAGGAGAUAAACAUGGACUCUUUCCGAUUCUCAAUCUCUUGGUCCAGAUUAAUUCCUAGUGGAAAGCUGAAGGAUGGAGUAAACAAAGAAGGUGUACAAUUCUACAAAGAUCUCAUAGACGAACUUCUUGCUAAUGGCAUACAGCCUUCAAUGACACUAU